GCAGUCGAGCGGUAGCACACGAGAGAGCUUGCUCAUCCUGGGUGACGAGCGGCGGACGGGUGAGUAAUGUCUGGGAAACUGCCUGAUGGAGGGGGAUAACUACUGGAAACGGUAGCUAAUACCGCAUAACGUCUACGGACCAAAGUGGGGGACCUUCGGGCCUCACGCCAUCAGAUGUGCCCAGAUGGGAUUAGCUAGUAGGUGGGGUAAUGGCUCACCUAGGCGACGAUCCCUAGCUGGUCUGAGAGGAUGACCAGCCACACUGGAACUGAGACACGGUCCAGACUCCUACGGGAGGCAGCAGUGGGGAAUAUUGCACAAUGGGCGCAAGCCUGAUGCAGCCAUGCCGCGUGUGUGAAGAAGGCCUUAGGGUUGUAAAGCACUUUCAGCGAGGAGGAAGGGUAAUGUGUUAAUAGCACAUUGCAUUGACGUUACUCGCAGAAGAAGCACCGGCUAACUCCGUGCCAGCAGCCGCGGUAAUACGGAGGGUGCAAGCGUUAAUCGGAAUUACUGGGCGUAAAGCGCACGCAGGCGGUUUGUUAAGUCAGAUGUGAAAUCCCCGCGCUUAACGUGGGAACUGCAUUUGAAACUGGCAAGCUAGAGUCUUGUAGAGGGGGGUAGAAUUCCAGGUGUAGCGGUGAAAUGCGUAGAGAUCUGGAGGAAUACCGGUGGCGAAGGCGGCCCCCUGGACAAAGACUGACGCUCAGGUGCGAAAGCGUGGGGAGCAAACAGGAUUAGAUACCCUGGUAGUCCACGCUGUAAACGAUGUCGAUUUGGAGGUUGUGCCCUUGAGGCGUGGCUUCCGGAGCUAACGCGUUAAAUCGACCGCCUGGGGAGUACGGCCGCAAGGUUAAAACUCAAAUGAAUUGACGGGGGCCCGCACAAGCGGUGGAGCAUGGGGUUUAAUUCGAUGCAACGCGAAGAACCUUACCUACUCUUGACAUCCAGAGAAUUCGCUAGAAAUAGCUUAGUGCCUUCGGGAACUCUGAAACAGGUGCUGCAUGGCUGCCGCCAGCUCGGGUUGGGAAAUGGUGGGUUAAGUCCCGAACGAGCGAACCCUU
rnacentral:rRNA from 1 species